rnacentral:lncRNA from 12 species
UAAAUCUUCACAAUAAUAAUCAGGUAGUCCUCAUCUUUGAUCCAAACACUUUUAUUCAAAGGCAAGCUUAUUUAUUUUUUAUUUUUUAAAAGGUUUUAUUUAUUUAUGAGAGAGAGAGAGAGAGAGUAUGAGCUGGAGGAGGGGUAGAGGGAGAAGGAGAAGCAGAUCCCCACUGAGCAGGGGAGCCUGACCUGGGGCUCGGCCCCAGGACUCCAAGAUCAUACCCUAAGCUGAGGUCAGCUAACCGACUGAGCCACCCAGGCGCCCCUCAAAGGCAAGUUUAAAAGGAACUUUAUCCAAAGGAGGUCAUUUUUCUGGAUUCUUCCAUUUCUUGGAGAAGUGUCCUGCUCACUCGUUUCUAUGUUGCACUUAUUUAAUCAAGUCUAUAAGCAAAGAACGACGGGGGAAACAAGGGGACCUGGGACCCUAAAAGUGUGAAGGAUGCCAUCGGAAUUGUGCCAUCCCAGCCUCCUAUCCACGAAGGUAGAUGGAAAAUGGCUAAUGAGUUUUUGCUAGCAUCUCUUUGUCAAUAUUGCGGAUUUUAAUGUUUAAUGAAAAUAAAUGUUACAACAUCUCGGUGACCCAAAUCAACCAAAGACAUGUCAAGUAAGUACCAUUUUGAUAUUGACAAUGAAAUGAUUAAGUUCACAAAAAAUCAAAACAUAUAAAAAUUUCCAACCCCCAUAAUCCAGAGAAUUCCUGAAGUAAUAGACCAAGCACAACCGUAACGAGGUACCUGGGCAGGUAUUUUGGCUACAAGUUCCUUGGAAACUGUUUAAAUUUUAUCUUUGGUCUCAAAACUCAUGUUUGCAACCCACAGGUACUCUAAGAAAGUCACCCUAACAUUUUUUGCUAAAUGAGUGAAAUUUGUACUCUAGAAAGAACUAAGAAUACAGUUAAGAAUAAAAAUAAAGAGCUCGCCGCUGAAUUUGUAAUUCUCUUCUUUUUUGCAAAGAGGUCAUUAUUACUGUGAGCAUUUUUCAAUUCCGUAAGAGAAGAGAUGAGCUGCACGGUCCCUGGAAUCUCGUAAAGGCAUUUGGCCUGGAAGAUGCUCCUUGGCCGUGUGCCGAUAACAACGUAUCACAGGGGCAACUUCCAGUUUGUCUAAAAUGAGCGACUUGUAUUUUUACUGUUUAAUUUCUGCUCAAUUAUUCAAAGUUGGCUCAACGUUGGUCACAGGAUGUAGUUUAUAAAAAGGAAUUUCCAUGUCCAGGAAAGGAGGCAUGAUCAUUGAAAGGUUCACAGUAUAAAAACU